CUAAAGUUGGGUAAUCUGCUAACAUCUGGAUCCCUGUGGCUCAUCUUUUGUCCUGGGUAUCACCACUACUGUGUUCCUAUGAUGGGAGCGGUGGAGAGGAGAGGUGCUGUGCGGGCCACCUUGGGAAUGGGAAGAGCAUUUGAGAUGAGCUGAGUAGUAGGGAGAAGGAGCAUGAGACAGACUUCUCACAAGCACAACAGUAAUUCUCUGGGACUUAGUUGUCCCAGAUGGCAAAGAGGAACCUGGUGACUGUAGGAUCAUCCCACAUAGCUGAUGCUGUUGGAGUUUUUUCUUUUUCUGCUGAGGAUGACC